AGGAGUCUGGGCUGUGGAGUGCCCUUUCAACCCUGGAUUCUACACGUCUGGGAGCUUCUGCAAAUAUUCCUGUAUUUGGAUGGAACACAAUUGAAAUCCCUUCCAGAAUGUCGAGUGCCCCCACCAGAGGACCCGCCCCAGGAUCCCAGGCGUGCUCGUACCCUAGCUGGAGAACUGAGGUUGGAUAGGAGCUGGAGCUAGAAGAGAGGCUGAGUCUAAAGGGAAGAGAUUAUAGAGAUCUCAUGGAGACUCAGUGGAACACAAGAGGGAAACUCCAUUGGCCUCAGAAAGCCUCAGUGAACUAGAACUUGGAACGCAUCAAUUAUAAGAUCUUUGGUCUUGCAUGAUGCCGGCAAUUUGAUGGGUAGAGCA
rnacentral:lncRNA from 1 species